rnacentral:rRNA from 1 species
CGUUCCCGGGCCUUGUACACACCGCCCGUCACACCACGAAAGUCGGCAACACCCGAAGCCGGUGGCCUAACCCGCAAGGGAGGGAGCCGUCGAAGGUGGGGUCAAUGAUUGGGGUG